AGAACGAACGCUGGCGGCGUGCCUGAGACAUGCAAGUCGUGGGAGAAAGUCGUAGCAAUACGGCUAGUACACCGGCGCACGGGUGAGUAACACGUGGAUAACCUGCCUUAGAGUCUGGGAUAAACCCGUCGAAAGACGAGCUAAUACCGGAUAAGACCACGGGAAGUUCGCUUCCUGAGGUAAAAGAUGGCCUCUGCUCCUGCAAGCUAUCACUUUGAGAGGGGUCAGCGUCCUAUCAGCUAGUUGGCGGGUAAUGGCCCACCAAGGCGACGACGGGUAGCCGG
rnacentral:rRNA from 1 species